UAAUACGAAGGGUGCAAGCGUUGUUCGGAUUUACUGGGCGUAAAGCGUCCGUAGGUGGUUUGUUAAGUCAGUGGUGAAAUCCCAGGGCCCAACCCUGGAACCGCCUUUGAUACUGGCAAACUGGAGCGUGAUAGAGGAAGAUGGAAUAUCUGGUGUAGGGGUGAAAUCCGUAGAUAUCAGAUGGAACACCAAUGGCGAAGGCAGUCUUCUGGAUCAUUGCUGACACUGAGGGACGAAAGCGUGGGGAGCAAACAGAAUUAGAUACUCUGGUAGUCCACGCCCUAAACGAUGCAUGCUUGUUGUUGGGUUCCUUCGGGGAUUCAGUGACGAAGCUAACGCGUUAAGCAUGCCGCCUGGGGAGUACGAUCGCAAGAUUAAAACUCAAAUGAAUUGACGG
rnacentral:rRNA from 1 species